rnacentral:misc_RNA from 1 species
AAGUCGUAACAAGGUUUCCGUAGGUGAACCUGCGGAAGGAUCAUUACCGAACUUUCAAAAAUGAAAAAUCUGUAUAAUGGAUUUUUUCAUGCAAAAGCCCAGCGCUCAUUUGUGAAAGGUAGUCGUUUUGAAUGACCGAGUAACUUUUGGCAUGGAUGCUUUUUGCCUAUUGCAAGUCUGUCGAACAGUGUGUGACUGAUACUUGCAACGUGGACAAUGACCAUUGAUGUCGGACACGUUAAACGAUAUGAAAAAGUAUAAAAUGUUUCAUGUCAAUUUGCUUUUCUCAGUAUUUACGUACUGGGAAUCGCAAUGCUUUUGUAAAUGUAUAUUAUUAUACAAAAACAAAGAAUAAAAUUAAAAAUAUCAACCUCGAGUGGUGGAUCACUCGGCUCGUGG